UACGAAGGGGGCUAGCGUUGUUCGGAUUUACUGGGCGUAAAGCGCGUGUAGGCGGAUUGGUAAGUUGGGGGUGAAAUCCCGAGGCUCAACCUCGGAACUGCCUCCAAAACUGUCAGUCUGGACUCAAGUAGAGGCAAGUGGAAUUGCGAGUGUAGAGGUGAAAUUCGUAGAUAUUCGCAGGAACACCAGUGGCGAAGGCGACUUGCUGGACUUGUAGUGACGCUGAGACGCGAAAGCGUGGGGAGCAAACAGG
rnacentral:misc_RNA from 1 species